GGUCAAGCUCACUGUCAGGUUCCCUGCCGUCCUAUCAGAACACACAGUGGGCGGGAUCUAGCAGGGGAGGAAGGGUCAGGCACGCGGACCCACACAGGCGGAAACAGGGUUGGAGAAACUGAGGCGGAUUUUCUGCAAGAGAUCAUUAAGGAGUUAAGGACAACGUGGGAGUUGUCUGAUAGCGGCUCCAGAUAUCAGACAGCCGGAGGUUCCUCAGGUUAGCUACAGGAGCUGUGGAAGAUGGGAAGACUGACCCAGAGUUCCAGCUGUGGACUGGAGCACUGACUGUUCUACUACCCUUUGUCCAACACUAAUGAACUGACCGAUGACCACUUCAGUGUCAGCGAACGAGGCCUGGGUUUACGUCUCAGCUCCUGAUCCGCCGGUUUCAGACUCAGAAACACACUUGUCCUUUCAGUGGGUAUUGAUUGAACUGUCCAAACCAGCCGAGCAGCACAAAGUGAGUCCAGUCUGACUUUAACAGACCAGGACAUGUGGUUUUACCGAGCACGGACGUCCAUUAAACCCAGGAAUCAGCACCGGCACCUUCAAACCCAGUCCAGUAUGAUGUCACAUGACGGAUCCGACAUGUGCAACAACACCAGCACAGUCCAACGACUGGGGUCAAAUCCACAAUCAAACCUUCACGGAGAACCUUCCAAACUAGUAACGAUGCAUUUACAGCCUGAGUUAAACUGUAAAACAGAGGUGUCAAACAUAUGGCUCAUGGGCCAAAAGGGGCCACCAAAGGGUCCAAUCAGGUUCAACGGAUGGAUUUUUGAAAUGGAAAAAUUACACUGAAAAUAUUAACAGUCAGAUGUGUCAGGAUUAUCUUGGUUGUGUAUUUGUAUUUGAUCUGUAUGUUGUAACGCACAUCGUAUUGUUGAAAUUACACUUAUUUUUCCUUAAGAAAUUUCAGUCUUUUUAGGUUAU